AGAAUGAACGCUAGCGAUAUGCUUAACACAUGCAAGUUGAACGUUGUUUUCGAAUCAGAAUGAGAACAAAGUAGCGAACGGAUGCGUAACACGUGGGAAUCUGCCGAACAGUUUGGGCCAAAUCCCGAAUGAAUAAAAGCUAAAAAGCGCUGUUUGAUGAGCCCACGUAGUAUUAGGUAGUUGGUUAGGUAAAAGCUGACCAAGCCUACGAUGCUUAGCUGGUCUUUUCGGAUGAUCAGCCACACUGGGACUGAGACACGGCCCCAGACUCCUACGGGAGGCAGCAGUGGGGAAUCUUGGACAAUGGGCGAAAGCCUGAUCCGGCAAUAUGGCGUGAGUGAAGAAGGGCAACGCAGCUUGUAAAGCUCUUUCAUCGAGUGUGCGAUUGUGACAAGACUCGAAUAAGAAGCCCCGGCUAACUCCGUGCCAGCAGCCGC
rnacentral:rRNA from 1 species